rnacentral:rRNA from 1 species
UACAGAGGGGGCUAGCGUUGUUCGGAAUUACUGGGCGUAAAGGGCUCGUAGGCGGCCAACUAAGUCAGACGUGAAAUCCCUCGGCUUAACCGGGGAACUGCAUCUGAUACUGGAUGGCUUGAGAUUGGGAGAGGGAUGCGGAAUUCCAGGUGUAGCGGUGAAAUGCGUAGAUAUCGGGAGGAACACCGGUGGCGAAGGCGGCCCCCUGGUUGGAUACUGACGCUGAGACGCGAAAGCGUGGGGAGCAAACAGG